rnacentral:rRNA from 1 species
GGUCAAGCGAAUAAGCGCACACGGUGGAUGCCUUGGCGGUCAGAGGCGAUGAAGGACGUGGCAGCCUGCGAAAAGUAUCGGGGAGCUGGCAACAAGCUUUGAUCCGGUAAUGUCCGAAUGGGGAAACCCACCCGCUUGCGGGUAUCCUGCAGUGAAUACAUAGCUGCUGGAAGCGAACCUGGUGAACUGAAAUAUCUAAGUAACCAGAGGAAAAGAAAUCAACCGAGAUUCCGUAAGUAGCGACGAGCGAACGCGGACUAGCCCUUAAGCUGGAUUGGUUCUAGGAAAACGCUCUGGAAAGAGCGGCCAUAGAAGGUGAUAGCCCUGUAUCUGAAAGGGCCAUUCCAGUGAAGACGAGUAGGGCGGGGCACGUGAAACCCUGUCUGAACAUGGGGGGACCAUCCUCCAAGGCUAAAUACUACUGACCGACCGAUAGUGAACCAGUACCGUGAGGGAAAGGCGAAAAGAACCCCGGAGAGGGGAGUGAAAUAGAACCUGAAACCGUGUGCGUACAAGCAGUAGGAGCUCCGCAAGGAGUGACUGCGUACCUUUUGUAUAAUGGGUCAGCGACUUACUGUUCGUGGCAAGCUUAACCGUAUAGGGGAGGCGAAGGGAAACCGAGUCUGAUAAGGGCGCAUAGUCGCGGGCAGUAGACCCGAAACCGGGUGAUCUAGUCAUGCCCAGGGUGAAGGUGCGGUAACACGCACUGGAGGCCCGAACCCACUCCCGUUGCAAAGGUAGGGGAUGAGGUGUGAUUAGGAGUGAAAAGCUAAUCGAACCCGGAGAUAGCUGGUUCUCCUCGAAAGCUAUUUAGGUAGCGCCUCAUAUGUAUCCUCUCGGGGGUAGAGCACUGUUAUGGCUAGGGGGUCAUCGCGACUUACCAAACCAUUGCAAACUCCGAAUACCGAGACGGACUGUAUGGGAGACACACGGCGGGUGCUAACGUCCGUCGUGAAAAGGGAAACAACCCAGACCCACAGCUAAGGUCCCAAAUUUUGUGCUAAGUGGAAAACCAUGUGGAAAGGCACAGACAGCCAGGAGGUUGGCUUAGAAGCAGCCACCCUUUAAAGAAAGCGUAAUAGCUCACUGGUCGAGUCGGUCUGCGGGGAAGAUUUAACGGGGCUAAGCACAGAACCGAAGCUUGGGGUGCAUAACUUUGUUAUGCGCGGUAGAGGAGCGUUCCGUAAGCCGUUGAAGGUGGAUUGAGAAGUCUGCUGGAGGUAUCGGAAGUGCGAAUGCUGACAUGAGUAACGAUAAUGCGGGUGAAAAACCCGCACGCCGAAAGCCCAAGGUUUCCUUGCGCAACGUUAAUCGGCGCAGGGUGAGUCGGCCCCUAAGGCGAGGACGAAAGUCGUAGUCGAUGGGAAGCAGGUUAAUAUUCCUGCACCUCGCGUAAGUGCGAUGGAGGGACGGAGAAGGUUAGGUGUACCAGGCGUUGGUUGUCCUGGGGAAAGGCGGUAGGUUUGGAUCUUUGGCAAAUCCGGGAUCCUUUAAGACCGAGCACCGAGACGAGCCUUUAUGGCGAAGUCACUGAUACCACGCUUCCAGGAAAAGCUCCUAAGCUUCAGCUUACGCAGACCGUACCGUAAACCGACACAGGUGGGUAGGAUGAGAAUUCUCAGGCGCUUGAGAGAACUCGGGUGAAGGAACUAGGCAACAUGGCACCGUAACUUCGGGAGAAGGUGCACCCUUUUUGGUGGCUCGUGCGAGCUAUAGCUGAAGAGGGUCGCAGUAACCAGGCCGCUGCGACUGUUUAUCAAAAACACAGCACUCUGCAAACACGAAAGUGGACGUAUAGGGUGUGACGCCUGCCCGGUGCUGGAAGGUUAAUUGAUGGGGUCAGCCGCAAGGCGAAGCUCUUGAUCGAAGCCCCGGUAAACGGCGGCCGUAACUAUAACGGUCCUAAGGUCUGUCUCUUAUACACAUCUCCGAGCCCA